GGGGAAUUUUGGACAAUGGGCGAAAGCCUGAUCCAGCAAUGCCGCGUGAGUGAAGAAGGCCUUCGGGUUGUAAAGCUCUUUUGUCAGGGAAGAAACGGUGAAAGCUAAUAUCUUUUGCUAAUGACGGUACCUGAAGAAUAAGCACCGGCUAACUACGUGCCAGCAGCCGCGGUAAUACGUAGGGUGCAAGCGUUAAUCGGAAUUACUGGGCGUAAAGCGUGCGCAGGCGGUUUUGUAAGUCUGAUGUGAAAUCCCCGGGCUCAACCUGGGAAUUGCAUUGGAGACUGCAAGGCUAGAAUCUGGCAGAGGGGGGUAGAAUUCCACGUGUAGCAGUGAAAUGCGUAGAUAUGUGGAGGAACACCGAUGGCGAAGGCAGCCCCCUGGGUCAAGAUUGACGCUCAUGCACGAAAGCGUGGGGAGCAAAC
rnacentral:rRNA from 1 species